rnacentral:rRNA from 1 species
UUCCUACGGGAGGCAGCAGUAGGGAAUAUUGGACAAUGGGGGAAACCCUGAUCCAGCAAUGCCGCGUGAGUGAUGAAGGCCUUAGGGUUGUAAAGCUCUUUCGUCCACGACGAUGAUGACGGUAGUGGAAGAAGAAGCCCCGGCUAACUUCGUGCCAGCAGCCGCGGUAAUACGAAGGGGGCUAGCGUUGUUCGGAAUUACUGGGCGUAAAGCGCACGCAGGCGGCGCAUUAAGUCAGGGGUGAAAGGCCUGGGCUCAACCCAGGAACUGCCUUUGAGACUGAUGCGCUGGAGUACGGAAGAGGGUAGUGGAAUUCCCAGUGUAGAGGUGAAAUUCGUAGAUAUUGGGAAGAACACC